rnacentral:misc_RNA from 1 species
GGAAGGAUCAUUAACACAUUGUCCAUUUGAAGAUUAAUUUAAUGAGAAUGAAUUUUAAUUCAUUUUUUCAUUAAUAUUAAUCUUUCAAACCACUAGCGAAUUGUUGGUAGUCAACCAAUUAUGUUUUUUUCAAACAUAAGGUAGAUUUACUCGUGAUUCUCGUUCAGUGAAUGAAUUAGGUAAAACUAAUUUAAUUUACUCGACUGAUUGUUUCUUUAUUGAAACAAAACUAAUAUAUAAAACCAAGACAACUUGUAACAGUGGAUACCUUGGUUCCCAGGUCGAUGAAGAGCGCAGCUAACUGCGAUAAGUCAUGUGAAUUGCAGAAUUCCGUGAAUCAUCGAACUCUUGAACGCAAAUUGCACUUUGGUGUUGAAUCAAAGUGUGCCUGCUCGAGUGUCGGCAAUAAACAAUCACAAUUCAUUUUGUGAUAUUGAGAGUUCAUUUUUAUAUGAUCUCUUUAAAUGUAUGAAGUAUGAUUUUAUAUUGAUUGAUUCAAUAUCAAGCUUUUACAAUAUCAUACAAGUGAAUUAAGUAACAUUUAAUGUUGCAUUUUUCCUUGUUAAUUGUAAAUAAAUGUAUAUUAAUCAAUAUUAACAAUAUAAAUGAAUAAAAGCUUCUAGUAUAGAAGAAUUUAAACAAUUCUAAUAUACAAAUUUUUCAAACCUCGACCUCGAAUUAGGCAAGAUCACCCGGUGGACUUAAGCAUAUUAUUAACCGGAGGAAAAGAAACUAACAAGGAUGCCCUUAGUAACGGCGAGUGAAGCGGGCAGAGCUCACAUUUAAAAUCUGAAUGUCUUCGGAUAUUCCGAAUUGUAGUUUUUGGAUUGUUAUUCACGGAGUUAUCAAUGAGAGUGUAAGUUCUUUGGAACAAGGCGUCAGAGAGGGUGAGAACCCCGUAUGCGACUCCAUUGGUGAUUCAAUACGUGUAUAGCUUUUCACGAGUCGGGUUGUUUGGGAUUGCAGCCCUAAAUAGGUGAUAGAUCUCAUCUAAAGCUAAAUAUUCCUGGGAGACCGAUAGCGAAGAAGUAGUGUGAACGAAAGGUGAAAAGAACUUUGAAAAGAAGGUGAAAAGUACUUGAAGCUGUUCCAAGGGAACCGCAUAAAGUCAGUGACUGCUUGUGAUCAAUUCAGUUUGUUCUUUGGUAACAGUGUUGGAUACCUGGUGCUGUAUGGUCCAGUGUACUAAGCUGUGAAGAAGGGCGAAUGUUCUUUGGUUAUGAGCGAGUCAACAUCAGUUUGAGGUGACGGAGAAGGGUAGGUGGAAUGUAGGUUUGGCUUUCGGGUCAAACUGUUAUAGACACUUAUUACAUACGUCAUGUUGGACUGAGGAAACAAAACGCAUGCCUCGGCGAGGUAAUGGGCUAGAGAGUUAUGAUAGUGGUGUAAGUCUGCUUGCAGGUUGCAUCAUUUUAUUAUGAUUACGAGGUUCAUCCAUCUGUGCGUUAAGGAUGUUGACGAAAUGACUUUAUACGACCCGUCUUGAAACACGGACCAAGGAGUCUAACAUGUAUGCGAGUAUUUGGGUGGAAAACCCCAGUGCUAAAUGAAAGUGAAUAAUGUGAGCCUCGUAAGGGGUGCAACAUUGACCGACUGUACUUAGGUACGGUUUGAGUUGGAGCACACAUGAUGGGACCCGAAAGAUGGUGAACUUUGCGUGCGCAGGGUGAAGCCAGAGGAAACUCUGGUGGAGGCUCGUAGAGAUACUGACGUGCAAAUCGUUCUUCUGACGUGCGUAAAGGGGCGAAAGACUAAUCGAACCAUCUAGUAGCUGGUUUACAC